GGGCGCGCACAUCUGUUAAAAGAUAACGCAGUGUCCUAAAUGAGCUCAACGAGAAACAGAAAUCUCGUGUGAACAGAAGGUAAAAGCUCGUUUGAUUCUGAUUUCCAGUACGAAUACGAACCGUGAAAGCGUGGCUAACGAUCCUUUAGACCUUCGGAAUUCGAAGCUAGAGUGUCAGAAAAUUACCACAGGGAUAACUGGCUUGUGGCAGCCAAGCUUCAUAGCGACGUUGCUUUUGAUCCUUCGAUGUCGGCUCUUCCUAUCAUUGUGAAGCAGAAUUCACCAAGUGUUGAUUGUUCACCACCAAUAGGAACGUGAGCUGGUUUAGACCGUCGAGACAGGUUAGUUUACCCUACUGAUGACAGUGUCGCAAUAGUAAUUCAACCUAGUACGAGAGAACCGUUGAUUCGCACAAUUGUCAUCGCGCUUGGUUGAAAAGCCAGUGGCGCGAAGCUACCGUGCGUUGGAUUAUGACUGAACGCCUCUAAGUCAGAAUCCGGCUAGACCGACGCAUGCGCUCGUCGCCCGUUGCCGACCCGCAGUAGGGCCAUUGGCCCCAAGGCACGUGUCGUGCUAAGCCGUCGUGGCGGAAGGUCACGUGGCCGCCUUGAAUUACAAUUCCGAUCGAGCGGCGAGCUGAAUCCUUUGCAGACGACUUAAAUACGCGACGGGUAUUGUAAGGUAGAGUGCCUUGCUGCCACGAUCCUCUGAGAUUCAGCCCUUUGUCGCUCCGAUUCGU
rnacentral:ncRNA from 1 species